UCGAGAAUCUUCGGCAAUGGGGGAAACCCUGACCGAGCGACGCCGCGUGCGGGAUGAAGGCCCUCGGGUUGUAAACCGCUGUCAGUGGGGAGGAAAUGCAGGAGGGUUCUCCCUCUUGCUUGACCUAUCCGCAGAGGAAGUACGGGCUAAGUUCGUGCCAGCAGCCGCGGUAAGACGAACCGUACGAACGUUAUUCGGAAUCACUGGGCUUAAAGGGUGCGUAGGCGGUCCGGUAAGUUGGGUGUGAAAGCCCUCGGCUCAACCGAGGAAUUGCGCCCGAUACUGUCGGACUUGAGGGAGACAGAGGUGAGCGGAACUUAGGGUGGAGCGGUGAAAUGCGUUGAUAUCCUAAGGAACACCUGUGGCGAAAGCGGCUCACUGGGUCUUUUCUGACGCUGAUGCACGAAAGCUAGGGGAGCGAACGG
rnacentral:rRNA from 1 species